rnacentral:rRNA from 1 species
GAUUGAACGCUGGCGGCAGGCCUAACACAUGCAAGUCGAGCGGUAGAGAGGUGCUUGCAUCUCUUGAGAGCGGCGGACGGGUGAGUAAUAUAUCGGAACGUGCCCAGUCGUGGGGGAUAACGCAGCGAAAGCUGUGCUAAUACCGCAUACGAUCUAUGGAUGAAAGCGGGGGAUCGCAAGACCUCGCGCGAUUGGAGCGGCCGAUAUCAGAUUAGCUAGUUGGUAGGGGUAAAAGCCUACCAAGGCGACGAUCUGUAGCUGGUCUGAGAGGACGACCAGCCACACUGGAACUGAGACACGGUCCAGACUCCGUACGGGAGCAG